rnacentral:tRNA from 2 species
CGGGGCGUAGCGCAGCCUGGUAGCGCACCUCGUUCGGGACGAGGGGGUCGGAGGUUCAAAUCCUCUCGCCCCGACCA